rnacentral:pre_miRNA from 1 species
CAGGGUGGAGUGUCAGAAGGCAGCCUUGGGGUGACUCCACCAUGGCCCGGGCUUGGCUCCUUGUCACCCUCCUCACUCAGGGCACAAGUGA